GACAUCGUAGUGAAGCGGUCAUCACGCCUGCUCCACACGCAGGAGGUCGCCGGUUCGAUCCCGGCUGAGAUCA
rnacentral:tRNA from 1 species